rnacentral:rRNA from 1 species
AUUGAACGCUGGCGGCAUGCUUUACACAUGCAAGUCGAACGGCAGCGCGGGCUUCGGCCUGGCGGCGAGUGGCGAACGGGUGAGUAAUACAUCGGAACGUGCCCAGUAGUGGGGGAUAGCUCGGCGAAAGCCGGAUUAAUACCGCAUACGACCUGAGGGUGAAAGCGGGGGAUCUUCGGACCUCGCGCUAUUGGAGCGGCCGAUGGCAGAUUAGCUAGUUGGUGGGGUAAAGGCCUACCAAGGCGACGAUCUGUAGCUGGUCUGAGAGGACGACCAGCCACACUGGGACUGAGACACGGCCCAGACUCCUACGGGAGGCAGCAGUGGGGAAUUUUGGACAAUGGGCGAAAGCCUGAUCCAGCAAUGCCGCGUGUGUGAUGAAGGCCUUCGGGUUGUAAAGCACUUUUGGCGGGAACGAAAGGGACUGUGCCAAUACCACGGUUCGAUGACGGUACCCGCAGAAUAAGCACCGGCUAACUACGUGCCAGCCGCCGCCGUAAUAC